UACAGAGGUCUCAAGCGUUGUUCGGAUUCAUUGGGCGUAAAGGGUGCGUAGGCGGCGCGGUAAGUCGGGUGUGAAAUCUCGGAGCUUAACUCCGAAAACUGCAUUCGAUACUGCCGUGCUUGAGGACUGGAGAGGAGACUGGAAUUUACGGUGUAGCGGUGAAAUGCGUAGAUAUCGUAAGGAAGACCAGUGGCGAAGGCGGGUCUCUGGACAGUUCCUGACGCUGAGGCAACGGAAGGCCCAGGGGGAGCAAAACGGGGA
rnacentral:rRNA from 1 species